rnacentral:rRNA from 1 species
AGAGUUUGAUCAUGGCUCAGGAUGAACGCUAGCUACAGGCUUAACACAUGCAAGUCGAGGGGAAACGACAUCGAAAGCUUGCUUUUGAUGGGCGUCGACCGGCGCACGGGUGAGUAACGCGUAUCCAACCUGCCCACCACUUGGGGAUAACCUUGCGAAAGUAAGACUAAUACCCAAUGACGUCUCUAGAAGACAUCUGAAGGAGAUUAAAGAUUUAUCGGUGAUGGAUGGGGAUGCGUCUGAUUAGCUUGUUGGCGGGGUAACGGCCACAAGGCGACGAUCAGUAGGGGUUCUGGAGAGGAAGGUCCCCCANACUUGGAACUGAGACACGGUCCAAACUCCUACGGGAGCA